AUUUUUUUCCGCUCUCUCUAAAACUUUCGAACCCUAGCUAAUAACGAAUCUCUCUCCGUCUCUCCUCUGGGUCCUCUCUCUCUCUCUCCGGCACGGCCUUUUCUCUCUUCAACGGUGACUGACUGACGGUGGUAACUGUGUCCUCAAGAGUCAAGGCUCAAGCAGAGUUCUGGGUUCUUGAAGGCUUACUUGAAGGCUUGAAGGAUGGGUUCAAUCGAUACUUCGAUUUCAGUUUUUGAUUUCAGAUUCUUGAAGGCUUGAAGGCUGGGUUCGAUUUCGGAUUUCUGGUUACUGAUAUGAUCAUGACUCUCUCACCUCCAUCGUUAUGCUCCUGCGAU